rnacentral:rRNA from 1 species
CCUACGGGAGGCAGCAGUGGGGAAUCUUGCGCAAUGGGCGAAAGCCUGACGCAGCCAUGCCGCGUGAAUGAUGAAGGUCUUAGGAUUGUAAAAUUCUUUCACCGGGGACGAUAAUGACGGUACCCGGAGAAGAAGCCCCGGCUAACUUCGUGCCAGCAGCCGCGGUAAUACGAAGGGGGCUAGCGUUGCUCGGAAUUACUGGGCGUAAAGGGAGCGUAGGCGGAUAGUUUAGUCAGAGGUGAAAGCCCAGGGCUCAACCUUGGAAUUGCCUUUGAUACUGGCUAUCUUGAGUAUGGGAGAGGUUAGCGGAACUCCGAGUGUAGAGGUGAAAUUCGUAGAUAUUCGGAAGAACACCAGUGGCGAAGGCGGCUAACUGGCCCAUUACUGACGCUGAGGCUCGAAAGCGUGGGGAGCAAACAGGAUUAGAUACCCUGGUAGUCCACGCCGUAAACGAUGAGUGCUAGUUGUCGGCAUGCAUGCAUGUCGGUGACGCGAGCUACGACAUAAGUACACUCCGCCGUCGGGAGGUACGGUCGCGAGAAUUAAACUACGAAGAAGUAGACGGCGUGAGACGUGCCGAACGGACGACGACGAGGGAGGUAGG